rnacentral:rRNA from 1 species
GAUGAACGCUAGCGAUAGGCUUAACACAUGCAAGUCGAGGGGCAGCGAGGGUAGCAAUACCUGUCGGCGACCGGCGCACGGGUGAGUAACGCGUAUGUAACCUGCCCGCAACAGGGGGAUAACCCGGCGAAAGUCGGACUAAUACCGCAUAAAACAGGGGUCCCGCAUGGGAAUAUUUGUUAAAGAUUUAUCGGUUGCGGAUGGGCAUGCGUACCAUUAGGUAGUUGGUGAGGUAACGGCUCACCAAGCCUUCGAUGGUUAGGGGUUCUGAGAGGAAGGUCCCCCAGACUGGUACUGAGACACGGACCAGACUCAUAAGGGAGGCAGCAGUGAGGAAUAUUGGUCAAUGGGCGAGAGCCUGAACCAGCCAAGUCGCGUGAAGGAUGACUGACGUAUGGGUUGUAAACUUCUUUUACAAGGGAAUAAAAUGAGAUACGUGUAUUUUAUUGCAUGUACCUUGGGAAUAAGCAUCGGCUAACUCCGUG